GACGAACGUUGGCGGCGUGCUUAAUACAUGCAAGUCAACUGAAGCAGUGGUAGCAAUAUCGCUGUGGAGGUGGCGCACGGGUGAGUAACACGUAGGUAAUCUGCCUUCAGGUCUGGCAUAACUCCGGGAAACCGGGGCUAAUAGCAGAUGAUGCAGCGGCUCGACAUCGAGACAGUUGUUAAAGCUAUGGCGCCUGAAGAUGAGCCUGCGUCUGAUUAGCUAGUUGGCGGGGUAACGGCCCACCAAGGCAACGAUCAGUAGCUGGUCUGAGAGGAUGAUCAGCCACACUGGAACUGAGACACGGUCCAGACUCCUACGGGAGGCAGCAGUAAGGAAGAUUGCUCAAUGGGAGAAAUCCUGAAGCAGCAACGCCGCGUGAGGGACGAAGGGCUUUGGCUUGUAAACCUCUGUAGUGAGAGAAAAAAAUCCCAAUCUUUGGGACAUGAUGGUAUCUCAAAAGUAAGCCCCGGCUAACUACGUG
rnacentral:rRNA from 1 species